rnacentral:tRNA from 1 species
UCCCAUGUGGCUCAGUUGGUAGAGCAUGGUGUUUGCAAUGCCAGGGUUGUCGGUUCGAUUCCCACGGGGGAC